ACCACAAUCUUUAUUGUUGCACAACAGGCCCCCACACAGAGUAAGAACCCCAAACAUGGGUUGCAAGCUCUUUGAAGACCUUCCCUCCCUACCAGAAAACAUGUCCAGAACCAUCAUUGAUACAUCACUGAUACAUCAUCAUCAUGUCACAAUGAGGUAGGGGAGUCGUGAGGUUACAGAAGCUCAGCUCAACAAUUGCCCCGUGUCAUAAAUGAGCCAGACUCCAGAGAAGGUUUGCAGCCAACUAGCAGUGAAGGAAGCAGCCAGGAAGAGAGAGGAUCUGGCCAGGGUGCAGAAGGCCCGGCCAGGGUGAAGAAUCCUGGGUGUCAGGAGUGCGUGCAGGAGCCAGGCCCUGUGGCCAGUAGGACUUUGCAGGGCUGGGGCCUUCCUAAGUGCAGGGCACAGAAAGAAAUGCUUUGCCAGGGCACAAGAAGAAAUGCCUAGCCGAGAGGGGCGCUUCCAAGAUGGUGAUAGAACAGUGGUGAGUAGACCACAAUCUUUAUUGAUGCGCAACAAGUCCCCACACAGAGUAAGAACCUCGAACAUGGGUUGCAAGUUCUUUGAAGACCUUCCCUCCUGACCAGAAUACAUGUCCAAAACCAUCAUUGAUACAUCACUGAUACAUCAUCAUCAUGAUGUCACAAUGAAGUAGGGGAGUCGUGAGGUCACACAAGCUCAACAAUUGCCCCGUGUCAUAAAUGAGCCAGACCCCAGGGAAGGUUUGCAGUUGUGUGGCGAGUUCCCACCUCCCCCUCGGAAAUAAAGACACAGGACACCAGUAUUUUAGGUUAAUGGGCAAAAAUAGGCCACAACUUUAUUGAUUACAGGAAUUGAGCAGUAUUGGCUUAGGCAUUGGUCCUAUCGUCUAACCAGCUUCAGCCUGACUGCUUGAAGACCGGCAAGGGUUAACCACCAGUAGGGGGAGUCCUGCUGAUGCACAUCAACUAGGAUCUCCCCCGGGGUCACCGCUCAGGGGCGUGCCUUGGGACUUCACCUCCAUAGGCUUCGGAGAGGGCCACGCCCCCCGGAAUCCUUUACCGGACAACCCUUCAAACUGGGGGAGGUGAUGGCGCUUCCUCCCCCCCAUCUACAUAACAAUACCCUUACCAAUGCCUAACCGCCACUCGAGCAAAAGCUCGCCGCCAAUACCCUCAAACCUGCAACCAAUCCCUAAUCCCAGCCAUCAUAUCCGCCAACCACACAUCGUUUCCCACAUCGGAAAGAUGUACGCCAUCCUCUUGGUAGAGGGCCACUUAGCUGAACUGGAUGUUGGGGUGGUCAAUGACCCAACCCCCCAGAGCUGCCACUCUACGCGCCGCCAAAUGUACCAAAAGCUUCCUGGCUUUGUUUAUCACAAUGGGCACUGACAGUCCCUCCAUACAUGCCUCGCCAGCGGUGGUGACCAAAUUAGGGUUGAAUCUGGCAAUGAGGCAAUCAGUUCAUUGAAGUCAUUCUAAUUGUGCCACAUCAAGUCCACGCCUUUCCGAUAGGCCAAGUCAUUUCCCCCCAGCUGAAUUACCAGAGCAUGAGGGGACCUUCCAAAGUGGCUCUGGUUUUCACUGCAGGCAUAAAUUCUGCCCAGUGCACCCCCUUCCGUGAGAUUCAGGAAACUUAUAUAUAUUUUUAGUGGAAGAUCCAGCUUGCACCCCAGGCCACAGUUGACGGCACGGUUACUAGCCCAGUAGACAAUGCUGUGGCCUGUAAUCCAACUGUGCACCACUACGUUUCCUGAAAGCAAAAGAAGGUAACAAAGCCAGGUCAGGUAUAGCGUGAACAAUCACAAGGUCUUACGAAUAUACCGUAUUUUUCGCUCCAUAGGGCGCACCGGACCAUAGGGCGCACCUAGUUUUUAGGGGGGGAAAUAAAGAAACAAAUUUUUAUUCCCCCUCCCCAGCCCCAAAGAGCAAAGAAGCCAAGACAGCGAGCGGGAUCCAUCCCACUGGCUGUCUUGGCUUCCUCUUUAGCCGCAUGCAACCUCUCCAGCCGGGAGAGGCUGCGCGCAGCUUCGUUUUUAGCCAUGGGACUGGGGAGGGGGAAGCCUGAGCUUCCUCCGGCCCCAGCCCCCAAAACAGGUCCAGGAGCGGCGGCAAGAUUGCGUGCAACCUCGCCGCUGCUCCUGGAGCUUGCGGGGCUGGGGACGGGGGAAGCCCGAGCUUCCCCCGACCCCAGCCCCCAGAACAGGCAGCUAUCCACAAGGCUUCUGAGUGCAGCGGGAGUUCCCGCCAGGCUCCGAAUGCUUGCGGAUAGCUGCCUGAAGCCUGCAUUUGCUCCAUAGGACGCACACACAUUUCCCCUUCAUUUUUGGAGGGGGAAAAGUGCAUCCUAUAGAGCAAAAAAUACGGUAUCCCUUAAAAGUAUCAGACGUCCACCGCCCCAAGUCCUUCAUCCAUUCAGCCGAGAGUCCCAAAUGCAUUGCUGUGGUGGCGGCCCUAAUCCAAAAGGAGUUGGCCGCGAAUUCAGCUGGGGGUAAACCACAGGCAGCAGUCGCCCUUUGCAUAGCACGCAUGAACUGAUGCUGUGUAAGACGGGAGCCAUCCAAAUUUAUGAGGAAUGGGCCUGAGACGGUCGAUCCCACGUACUGUACAUGAAAUGUCUAGUGCCCUUUAUUGGGCAUGGCCCAUUGUGACUAAUUGCUUGGAGCCGAGUAAGGGCCGCCUUUUCCUGCUGAUCAGUUUUGGAACAUCGGACAUGCAGGACUAAAUUGGAUCUGGACAAGGACAGGUCUCUCAAUAAACUACCCCGGGCAAUGGAAUCUUGUUGGCCCUCACAAACCACUUCACCAACGCGCAGAGUGCCAAAGGAGGCGAUGGAGUAUGCAGCCGAAAAAUAACCGGGCCUUGCACUCGGACCAACAGAUACUUCUUAAUUUUUAUUUUCAUUGUUGUUAUUAUUAUUUGGAUUUGGCAUAGAAUGCCAUAAGUUAUGGGCCUUCUACCAUCACUGCUGGGAGGCUGCAGCCUGCGCCAGCCCCCCAGUGCCCUUCACACUAAGAAAUCCGCACAAGGGUCUAUGGAGUAAAUAGCCUUACAGAAGGAGGAGAUUGCAGCUGACUGGAUGUUUAAGAGUCUUUGCUGCGCGACCCAGCUCCCUCAAAUGUACCAAGUAUUGUAGAACUUCAGCCUUGGUAGGGGGUGUGUCAAGCCUAGAAUUUUUUAAUUUGCCUUGCAACUCCAUAAAGUCCGACCAAGCCUUUUUAUAAGGUCUAAGCAUGGACGGGACCACUGAAGCCAAUAUUCCCUUCAGGACCUCAUGUUCCCAAGGCUCCCAAGGUGAUCCAGGAAUGGCUGUGGCAAUUGCUGCGCCUCUGGUGCUGAUGGGCGGAAGCAGUCCAUCUGAAAACGGGACAGAGCAUCCGCGAUGUCAUUGUUAACCCUAGGUGUAAAUUUGGCAGAGAAAUAGAUGAUUAAUUCUAAGCCCAAAAGGACAAAGGGCAGCUUUGCCACCCUAGGAGAGUGCGAUGAUUGCUUAGACAGGACACUGACAACCGCUUGAUUGUCAGUCCAGAAGCAUACCUGGUGAUUCCCGAACUCAUCAGCCCACAAGUGCACCGGAACUACGACAGGAAAAUUCUAAGAAGGUGAGCUCACACGUGAUAGGUUUUCCUUGCCAGCUGGUAGGCCAAUGCUGAGCACACCAGCGCCUCCUAAAGUAGACACCAAGCCCCAGGGAACCAGCUGCAUCAGACUGUACCUGAAAGUCUGAAGGCAGCAUCAAAUUGUCCUGCCACAAAGAAAUGCCCUUGUACUUAUCCAGGAACUUUAACCAGACCUCCAGGUCUGACUUGAUCACUUUAGAGAGGCGCACUCUGUGUUGAGGAGCAUGCAGUCCCGCUGACAGCUUAGCCAAUUGCCCACAAAAGGGCAGCCAGGGGGCACUACCCAGCAUGCAAAGUUGAGGUGACCCAAGAGUGAUCGACUCUGCCUAAGGGUAGCCUUCUUGAGGGGAAGAAGUUGCAGAAUUAAUUCCUUAAGUGCUGCUAGCUUCUACCUUGGUAGGCUGAUGUCCGUGCGAUUGUGUCCAAUUCAUUACCCAAAAUAGGUUAUGGUCGAAACUGGACCCUCUGUUUUGUCUGCCACCAAAGGUACCCCAAGCUCCUCAGCCAGGGAGGCAAAAGCCUCUAAAGAGAAGCGCAACCAGGGCUAUUACUAGUGAUGAGAGAAAAGUUAUUGAGGUAAUGGGUCACCCUUUUAGAACCAGUUCUAAAGCAAAGGGCCCAGUCUAAAAUUGUACUAAAUGACUCAAAAGCUACACAAGCUACUGAGCACCCUAUCGGCAUAGAUUUGUCUAUGAACUAAGCGCCCUCAGCCUAAAACCUAGCCACAGAAAAUCCUCUGGGUGAAUUGGCAGGAGGUGGAAGGCCGACUCAAUGACGCACUUAGCUGAACCUACGAAUAAGCUUUAUAGCCUGAUCCAAGGAGGCACAUUUCACAGAACAAGGCUCCUGUGGUAUUGCAUCAUUGACUGAGCCACCUCUAGGGUAGGAUGGGUUGUGGAUCAUACGAUUCUCUCCUGGAGUCUUUUUAGGGACGAUGCCUAAAGGUGAAAUGUGUAAACCCACUAUAGGUGGCUCCCUGAAGGGGCCGGCCACCCUCCCAGCCAGAAUUUCUUUAUUUUCUUUUUGCAAUAGCUGGCAUUUCUCUAACUGGUUUUUGUUUGUUUGUUUGUUUAGGGGGUCCCCUGAGUUAGGAGGGAUCUAAGAGGUGAGAGCUUAACAGAAGAGAACGCCAAAACCAUGGGCCAAAUUAAUACCGGUUUGCGGCUGAAUUACCAGAUUUUUUUCCUCUAUAACACGCUCCUGACCAUAACACGCACAUCGUUUUUAGAGGAGGAAAACAAGAAAAAAAAUAUUCGAAACGAAACAGUGG